GCGAGCGGCAGUAGGGUGCCAUCAAGAGGUGUAUUUGGAAAUAUCCCUAAUACAGGAUCACUUGGAUCCGUCGGCGAUA
rnacentral:rRNA from 1 species